AACGAACGCUGGCGGCGCGCCUAAUACAUGCAAGUCGAGCGAGAAAGUGUAGCAAUACACUUGUAAAGCGGCGAACGGGUGAGGAAUACAUGGGUAAUCUACCAUCGAGUGGGGAAUAACCAACCGAAAGGUUGGCUAAUACCGCGUACGCCUCCGAGUCUUCGGGUUCGGAGGGAAAGCUGCACUGUGAGUGUAGCGCUCUUUGAUGAGCUCAUGUCCUAUCAGCUUGUUGGUAGGGUAAUGGCCUACCAAGGCUUUGACGGGUAGCUGGUCUGAGAGGACGAUCAGCCACACUGGCACUGCGACACGGGCCAGACUCCUACGGGAGGCAGCAGUAAGGAAUAUUGCGCAAUGGGCGAAAGCCUGACGCAGCGACGCCGCGUGGGGGAGUGAAGGUCUUCGGAUUGUAAACCCCUUUACCGGGUAGGGAAGAUGGAGCGAGCAAUCGUUCGGACGGUACCUCCAGAAGCAGCCACGGCC
rnacentral:rRNA from 1 species